rnacentral:rRNA from 1 species
CCUACGGGGGGCUGCAGUCGAGAAUCAUUCACAAUGGGGGAAACCCUGAUGGUGCGACGCCGCGUGGGGGAAUGAAGGUCUUCGGAUUGUAAACCCCUGUCAUGUGGGAGCAAAUUAAAAAGAUAGUACCACAAGAGGAAGAGACGGCUAACUCUGUGCCAGCAGCCGCGGUAAUACAGAGGUCUCAAGCGUUGUUCGGAAUCACUGGGCGUAAAGCGUGCGUAGGCUGUUUCGUAAGUCGUGUGUGAAAGGCGCGGGCUCAACCCGCGGACGGCACAUGAUACUGGGAGACUAGAGUAAGGGAGGGGGAACCGGAAUUCUCGGUGUAGCAGUGAAAUGCGUAGAUAUCGAGAGGAACACUCGUGGCGAAGGCGGGUUCCUGGACAUUAACUGACGCUGAGGCACGAAGGCCAGGGGAGCGAAAGGGAUUAGAUACCCUGGUAGUC